rnacentral:lncRNA from 1 species
CGGAAUAGGAGUUCGAAAAUUUCGAGAAAUUAACCGUAGCACCCUAGCAAGUCUACGAGGUGGGUGGUGCUCUCCAAACUCCUUGAAAUUCUUUCUAUGUCUAAUGUGUCACUCAUUGAGCAUACAUAUAUGUAUUGUUACAUGCAUUUUAGGGUGAAUGAGAUGAUGUUUAUGUGAAUGUUGCAUGUUGUGAGUACAAUUGCAUUAUGAGAUGGUUGAGAACCUAAGAACCCUAUAUAUGCAUGAGAUGUAACAUAAAAACCUAGUUGAGGUAAGAGGACAAAUGUGACACUAUGACAUGUAGAUCGAGUGGCAUUAGUAAAUGCAAGGAUGACACUAGAGUU